rnacentral:rRNA from 1 species
GAUGAACGCUAGCGGGAGGCCUAACACAUGCAAGCCGAGCGGUAUUGUUUCUUCGGAAAUGAGAGAGCGGCGUACGGGUGCGUAACACGUGUGCAACCUGCCUUUAUCUGGGGGAUAGCCUUCCGAAAGGAAGAUUAAUACUCCAUAAUAUAUUGAACGGCAUCGUUUAAUAUUGAAAGCUCCGGCGGAUAGAGAUGGGCACGCGCAAGAUUAGCUAGUUGGUGAGGUAACGGCUCACCAAGGCGAUGAUCUUUAGGGGGCCUGAGAGGGUGAUCCCCCACACUGGUACUGAGACACGGACCAGACUCCUACGGGAGGCAGCAGUGAGGAAUAUUGGUCAAUGGGUGCAAGCCUGAACCAGCCAUCCCGCGUGAAGGACGACUGCCCUAUGGGUUGUAAACUUCUUUUGUAUAGGGAUAAACCUACCCUCGAGAGGGUAGCUGAAGGUACUAUACGAAUAAGCACCGGCUAACUCCGUG